rnacentral:lncRNA from 1 species
GGCCCGCCUGGCAGGACGACUGAGCAAGUUCUUGGAAAACCAGAGAUAUUAGAGCGCAGAAUGGGGAAAUGGAGAGAGAACCUGAAAGAGCCCCAAACUCGAGGACCUAUUGCUCCCCAAGAAUAACAUCUUCCAGAACUAGACAGAAAACUAGGCGUCUGGGAACCCUGAAAUCCUUGGAGGAGUAGAUCAUCAUGACCCUCUGUGUUCCUUUUGGCAAAUGACUUGCUUCCAUUGUUUGUUUGUUCAAUUGUCUGUUUGUUAAAUAAAUAAAACCCUUUUUAUGUAUCUUUAAAAUUACAUUGGUUCUAUUAUUUUAUGAUUACAAACGAUGCUGCAGUCAUCAUUCUUGUACACUUCUCAUUGGCCACUGGUGUAUUUCUAUAGGGUGGAGGCCUGGAGAGCAGUUGUUCCAGCAUAGUGUUUACAUAGCUUUUAUUUAAUUCCGUUUUCUUUCCUUUGUUGCUUUAUUAGCUAUAACCCUUCUCUUAUUUCAGUGGCAGCUUUAGGGUUUCUGGGAUACAUCUUUAAUUUAUCACAUUCUGCUUUCAAGUGUAAUUAUACCUCCCUUUCUGGCCUUUAUCCUAGUGUUACGUAUUUUUACUUUAUGCAUUAUAAGUUUUGUGAUUAUCAUUACCUUCAUUUAUUAUGUCAAAUAUUUUUAAAAAGAUUUAAAUUAUAAGAAAAUGUGUAGUACAUGCUUUCUAAAUGCCAUUUCCAAUAUUUGUUUUUGUAUAGGUCCAGAUUUUUAUCUGGGAUCCUUUUGCUUCUGCCUGGAGGACUCUUAAGAUUUCUUGUAGCGUGGGUUGGUGAAUUCUUUUAGUUUUUGUAUGUUUUUCAAUGUCCUUAUUUCACUCACAGUUUUGAAAUUUUAUUUUUGCAUAGAAUUCUAGGUUAAUUUUUUUCUCUAGUACUUUAAAAAUGUUGCCAUUUAUGAAGCAUUGCCAUUUAAAGUAUCAUCUUUCAUGUGCUUGUGAAAAUGGCAUAAAGCCGGUUUCUUGUGCUGGUUAUGUAAUUUUCAGAAUGUGUAUUUAAAUUUAAAAUAUUAAAUUUU